GGACUACCGGGGUAUCUAAUCCCGUUCGCUACCCUGGCUUUCGCGCCUCAGCGUCAGAAAAGGUCCAGCACGUCGCUUUCGCCACCGGCGUUCCUUCCGAUAUCAACGCAUUUCACCGCUCCACCGGAAGUUCCACAUGCCCCUACCUCCCUCUAGCUUGCCAGUAUCAAAGGCACUUUUCCGGUUAAGCCGAAAGAUUUCACCCCUGACUUGGCAAGCCGCCUACGCGCCCUUUAAGCCCAGUGAUUCCGAACAACGUUUGCACGGUUCGUCUUACCGCGGCUGCUGGCAC
rnacentral:rRNA from 3 species